rnacentral:lncRNA from 1 species
GCUAUAUUACAGACGAAUCCAGAAGCGGCCACACAAAGAGCAAAAGCAACGGAAAACAUAAGUACAGCAGAUGCAAGCAAUAGCACAGAAUUAUAGAAAUAUAGCUAACAUAUAAUAGAACCAACAAUAACGAACUGUUCCACGAGUACCACAAACAGCUAGCCGCGCUUAAUGUUUGGCCAGCCAAAAGACAAAACCGAUACAGCGACCAUCCAACGUCGACACUAAAGAUAAAAACAACUAGGCGGUGCAGGGCAUGAACAUCCGACGACAGGCAGACUUGGCGCUUAGUCGACCUCCUCCAUCUUGCUCUCACCAGCGUCGUCCUCCAGGGGCGGCAUGUCGGUGUCGUUCUCAGGCGCCUCAUCGUCCUCGUCAAUGCUCAGGCCAAGCUUGAGCAUGCGGUGGAUCCUGGUGCCGAAGGUGUUGGGGUCCUCCAGGCUGAAGCCGGAGGUGAGCAGGGAGGUCUCGAAGAGCAGCAUCACCAGGUCCUUGACUGACUUGUCGUUCUUGUCGGCGUCGGCGCGCUUGCGGAGCUCGUCCAUGAUGGCGUUCUCAGGGUUGAUCUCCAUGGUCUUCUUGCUUGACAUGUAGCCAGCCAUGCUCGAGUCCCUCAAGGCCUGGGCCUUCAUGAUCCUCUCCAUGUUGGCGGUCCACCCAUACUCGCCAGUCACCAGACAGCAAGGGGAGUCCACAACACGGUCAGAGACGAUGACCUUCUCCACCUUGUCGCCCAGCACCUCCUUGAUGACCUUGCACAGCCCCUCGAACUUCUCCUUGAGCUCCUCCUGCUUCUUCUUCUCGUCCUCGCUCUCAUCGAGCUUCAGACCCUCCUUGGUGGCAGAGACAAGCUUCUUGCCCUCAAACUCCUUGAGCUGACCAAUGGCAUACUCAUCAAUGGCGUCAACCAUGUAGAUGACCUCAUAGCCCUUCUUCUUCAGCUUCUCAAGGAAGGGAGAGUUCUCCACAGCCUUCUUGCUCUCACCGGUGAUGUAGUAGAUCUCGUUCUGUCCCUCCUUCAUCCUAGUCACAUAGUCCUUGAGGCUCGUCAGCUCAUCACCACUCUUGGUGGAGUGGUACCUCAGAAGCUCAGCAAUCUUGGUCCUGUUCUGGGAGUCCUCGUGGAUGCCAAGCUUGAGGUUCUUGGAGAAGGCCUCGUAGAACUUGUUGUAGUCCUCCUUGUUCUCAGCAAUCUCAAAGAAGAGCUCAAUGCACUUCUUGACAAGGUUCUUCCUGAUGACCUUGAGGAUCUUGUUCUGCUGGAGGGUCUCACGGGAGAUGUUCAGGGGAAGGUCCUCUGAAUCAACAAUGCCCUUGACAAAGCUCAGGUACUCAGGGAUCAACUCCUCACAGUUGUCCAUGAUGAAGACACGGCGCACAUACAGCUUGAUGUUGUUGGCCUUCUUCUUGUUGUCGAAGAGGUCAAAGGGGGCCCUCUUGGGCACAAACAGGACAGCCUUGAACUCAAGCUGGCCCUCAACAGAGAAGUGCUUGACAGCCAAAUGCUCCUCCCAGUCAUUGGUCAAGCUCUUGUAGAAAGCAGCAUACUCUUCCUUGUUGAUCUCCUCUGGCUUCCUCAUCCAGAUAGGCUUCUGCUUGUUGACCAAGUUCCACUCAUGAGAGACUUCCUUGAUCUUCUUUUUCUUCUUUUCCUUCUCUUCCUUCUCCUCAUCAACAUCCUCAACCUUGCCCUCCUCAGUAUCCUUCUUCUCCUCCUCAUCUUCAUCGUCAGAAAUUUCCUUCUCAGUGGUCUUCUCGGUCCACAGGGAGAUGGGGUAGCUGAUAAACUCAGAGUGCUUCUUAACUAGAUCCUUGAUGCGGCGCUCCUCAAGGUAUUCCAUCUGCAAGCAAAUUGUAACAGAUCAGAUAAUGAACAGUAAGCAUGUGCAAACAAAGACUGUACACAAAAAAGAUUUGAAGAACAGCCAAACAUACAGCAAUACAGAAUCAAAAAUAAACUACUAGAAUACAGGUAGAAAUUCCAUGCAGAUAUGUAAUUCCAUAAUAGAGUAUUACAAUUCAAACUGACAUAAUGUUUUAUUGCAGGAAUACUAAAGAUGGAACACAGAACAUCCAAAGCAGUAAUUAAAAGAAGGUCAAUCAAUAAAGUUAAUCCAUGCAUUGCUUACAUAUGAGAGCAUUAGAAUGCAGUUAACAAAGCUCACCAUCAAUAUAAUGAUUUCAGUCAAAUUUAUAAAGUAAUAAUACUACCAAUCAUGGUUAAAAUGGUUGGGACGUCACUCAUAUUUAUACUAGGCAGGCUACAUAUACUACAACAGCACAGAUCUCAAACAAGCUGAGACAGGAAUGAUAAAAUUAUUGGUAUCAAAUCAACACAGAACUAUCCCAAUUCUAACAGCAAGCUGGUUAAGCAGUGAAGCCUCCCACAUAAACAUACAACUAAUCACAUUACCAUCAAUAAUAGACAAAUCAAACAUGCUGAUUGGCAACAGAGUUUAUCUCAUGCAGUGCAGAACUAUGGACACAAAAACAUACAGUUUAGAUCAAGAUAAGCCUAUCUACCACACAGUUUGAAGCACAAAACAUCAACACAUGGACAGUAAGCCAAUCAUCACAGUUUAAAAGGCUCUGUAUAGACAAGUAGAUCACAGAACUGACAGGUUUAAGCUUAUGCAGUGCAGACAUAGAUGCCACAAUCAUACAGUUCAGAUCAGGAACAAGUCAAACAAGUAACCUACCAAUAAAGCUACCCUAAGCACAGAACCUACAUGGAAGACAUGAAGAGUAAACCAAUCACAGUAUAGUUGGCUUGGACUGCAUACCUGGUCGUCCUUGAGGUAGAGCACCAUCUUGGUACCCCUGCCGAGCUGCUCCCCAGACGUAUCACGAGUGACGGUGAAGGAGCCACCGGCCUGAGACUCCCACACGUACUGCUCGUCGUCGUUGUGCUUGGUGGUGACGACGACCCUCUCGGCGACGAGGUAGGCGGAGUAGAACCCAACACCGAACUGCCCAAUCAUGG